rnacentral:ncRNA from 2 species
GGGUACCGCUACCUCUUACGCUUGCUCUAACGUUCGGUAUAAACGUUGGGCUGGCG